UUCGGUGGCCAUACCACGGGGGUCACACCCGAUCCCAUCCCGAACUCGGAAGUUAAGCCCCGUCGGGCCGAUGAUACUACGUGGGCAGCUGCGUGGGAAAGUAGGACGCCGCCGAAA
rfam:Desulfobacca acetoxidans DSM 11109, complete genome.